CCUACGGGAGGCUGCAGUCGAGAAUCUUCGUCAAUGGGGGAAACCCUGAACGAGCGACGCCGCGUGGAGGAUGAAGGCCUUCGGGUUGUAAACUCCUGUUGGGGGGGAACAAAUUUUGAGUGAACCCCUGAGGAAGCACGGGCUAAGUUCGUGCCAGCAGCCGCGGUAAGACGAACCGUGCGAACGUUAUUCGGAAUCAUUGGGCUUAAAGGGCGCGUAGGCGGCGGUGUAAGUUGGAAGUGAAAUCCCAUCGGCUCAACCGUGGAAUCGCUCCCAGUACUGCAUCGCUCGAGGGGGAUAGGGGUCCGCGGAACUACCGGUGGAGCGGUGAAAUGUGUUGAUAUCGGUGGGAACGCCAGUGGCGAAAGCGGCGGACUUGACCCUUCCUGACGCUGAGGCGCGAAAGCUAGGGGAGCAAACGGGAUUAGAUACCCCAGUAG
rnacentral:rRNA from 1 species